ensembl:lncRNA
CGGAGCGCGGCGCUCCGCACCUUGACCGGCGGCACCGGGCGGGCCGGGCCGGGGCGGCUCCGGUACCGGGGGCGGGCGCCGCUCUUUGACCCUCGGGUUGGUCGGGGAGCCCGGUUUUGUCGGGAAAGCCGGAUCCGCGCCGGGAUGCGGACAAAGACACGGAGCAGCUGUUCGGGAAUAAAGCUGAAAUAGUAGAACCUGGGAGAGAAGUUAGCUUGGGGGAGCUAUUAUUUUCGCCGCAAAACCCUCGGGAGGUAUUAAACAGCUGCAUCCAAACGACGGAGCGACCCAAAGGCCGGGAUCCCACCGCCUCGCCGUCGAGCAGCGGGCGCGUGGCUCAGCGCACGGCCGCAGGUUCCUCUGCAAAGAGCAGCGUAGCAGAGCGGUUGGGAGAGCUGUGCUGGACAGAGGACGGCCGGCCGCGAGCGGAGCCUCCCACCGGCGAGCAUUGCCAGGCGAGGAGAGAAAACCUGGGCAGCCUUAAAACACUCAGAGUGUAAUGUGACGCUUCCAAACCUUUGCAGCCUGCGGUAAGCCGAGGGAAGCAAUGAGUAACCUUUGCUUUCAAGUGAAAACGGUGCGGUGGUAACAUCCCGAUGGAGCCCGUGCGCAUCGGGCAUUGUUUGGAAUUCUUGCCAUAUUUUAACCUCUGCCGUGUUGGCUGCUCGCAGGAACAAGCUGAGCGCUCCGAGAUAACACUGCGUUUUGUCAGAUGCUUUAUAACGUUGUUUAGAGACGUGCUCGGAUCUAUUUAGUGCUUCAUAAAUAUGAAUAAAGCGUUUACAAAAGGCACGUCACCGCAGAAGUAACCGUGGAUUAUGCCAGCUGCUCGCAGUUUACACGUUACAAAUUUCCUAAACUGUUCUGAACUACAUUUUACCGGGGGCGUUUUUACCCGCGAUUAAAUACAACUCAGCGCUGCCCAGCAAAUAUCUCUGUUGAUUUAUGUAUAGGAAAUCGGGGAAUCAGCAUUGGCCCAAACCCCAAAUUACUGCUGAAGCAGUUUCAAAUAUUUAUGGACCUGUUAUGGGAGGAGAGAGGAAUGUCAUGUUUUUUUUUUCCCAAGGCCUCGCUGUGCGCAGACCGAUUUUCUCAGCCGUUUCCGCCCCGGGUGCGGGGUGCCCUGCAGCCCCCCCAGCACAGAUGGGUUUGUGAUGUGAUUGCUGUGCUGUUGGCUGCAGGACAGUGCGGGUUGCAGCCCUGGGUUGCUGUAGGCACAGCCAUGGUAGUGUGGUUGCAAUCCUGCUGCCCUCCGGCCCUCAGUGCUUUUGUUUGUCCUGGAAAAACGCAGCGCGGUCCCGCAAGGCCUUGCGUUUGUGCUGGGCAUGAAUUUUGCACUGGCGAAAGUCUGCUCGAGGAGCCUGAAGACGCACCAUCCCCACUUAUCGCCCCAGAGGCAGGCUAUCUAGCUGACAAGCUGUGCGGUGAAAAACCAGGUGCCCAUGUGCCUGCUGCUCACCCAAGGCCUGAAAGGGAUCAGCUGCUCAUUUUGCAGAGCAAAGAGUGCUUUCCUGGUGCCAGAUUUCAUCUGAAAUUGGUCCUAUGCUGAACGAGUUGGGGCCAAUGAGAAGCAGAAAGUGGAUGAAGCAAGAUCCUAAAAGGGAAAGACCAAUGUUUUAUUUACUACAAUAAACCCUAAACCCAGGUUUAUCACUAACUAGUCGUAUUUUCUGUUUGUGUUUGUCUUUGUGGUCUGACAUUUGCUCAUGCUGUGAUAGCUUCAUCAAAAUACAUUUUUUAGAAAAAGCA